AAUAAGGCUAAAGAUCGAUGACGUUCAGUUAGGAACUAUAGGCAAAAGUCUAAAAAUUUCUUAUAUAAAAUUUCACUCAAAAUUUCCCCCCAGAUAUUAGAAUUAAUGAAAAUAUUUCCCCCAAGUACAAUAUCAUCGAUCUUUCCCCAAUUUUUUAUCUCACUGCAGCUUCACCUUAAUUGCCUCCUUAACCUAAUUUAUUCCUUUCAAUUCUUUGUUGCAUAUAUCUUCAGAUUACUCUCACCCAUAUAUUGCAAAUCUCCAUCCCUUUCUCUAUUGAUAAGUCACGCUCGGGAAGAUUUGUGGUGGACUUGAAGUUGGAUUUGUCUUAGCUUAAGUGUCAUGACGAGGAAUUCAAAUGUUCCAUCCAAGGAAUGGAUGGAUUUACCAAGAUAUAGCAAAGAGUAUGUCGAGGGUGUUCAAUCUUUCUUAAAUUUUGCUUACUCUUAUGGAGAUCCUCAAGGCAAAGAAAUUCAAUGCCCAUGUACAAAAUGUUGUAAUAUCCUAUGGACUCAAAAGAAUGCAAUGUAUGAUCAUCUAAUAUGCUAUGGAUUUGUUCAAGGUUAUACAAGAUGGAUUAAUCAUGGGGAAUGGAAAAUUUAGAUGAAUGUUAAUUGUGACAUGGAUGAUAAUGUUUCCUCGUACGAUGAUAUUGAUGGGUUGUUGAAUGAUCAAUUUAGAGAUGUUGCACAUUCCGAAGGAGUGUAUGAAGGUCCAAAUGAAUAUGCCAAUAAAUUCUCUAACUUAGUUGACGAGGCAAGCCAAGAACUAUAUCCUAGUUGUAAAGGAUUCUCUAGAUUAUCUUUCACAAUCCGUCUGUAUUUGUUGAAGUGUCUACAUGGAUGGAGCAAUGCGUCUUUCGCUUCUCUUUUAGAGCUAUUAAAAGGGGCGAUGCCUGAGUUGAAUAUUCCUAUAUCCUACAAUAAAGCCAAAUAUAUGGUAAAGGAUCUCGGUCUUGAUUAUGAAAAUAUUGAUGCAUGUCCCAAUGAUUGCAUGCAAUUUAGGAAUGACCAUAAGGAUGAUGAAUAUUGUCAUGUCCGUGGAGCUUCUCGAUAUAUUAAAUAUCCUGAACUAGAUAGUGAUGAAGUAGAUAGCGAGCUUGAGACUUCCAAAAAAGGUUAUCGUGUUCCAGCAAAAAUUUUGAGAUACUUUCCAUUAAUUCUUAGACUCAAAAAGCUAUUUAUGUGUUCAAAGACAAGCAUAUACAUUGAGGUGGCAUGACGAGGAGCGUUCUAAAGAUGGAAAGUUAAGGCAUCCUGCUGAUGGGCAAACAUGGAAAGACUUUGAUAGCUUGCAUUCAGAAUUUGCAAGGGAUUCUCGCAAUUUGAGACUUGGCUUAGCAAGUGACGGGUUCAAUCCAUUUCGGACCAUGAGCAUAUCUCAUAGCACAUGGCCAGUUAUUUUAAUGGUGUAUAAUUUGCCUCCUUGGAUGUGCAUGAAGCCAGAAUACUGUAUGCUUUCUUUGCUUAUACCUGGGCCACGAUCACCUGGAAAUGACAUUGACGUUUAUUUACAAUCAUUAAUAGAAGAGUUAAAUGUGUUGUGGGAGUCCGGGGUAGAAACAUAUGAUGCUUCAAGAGAUCAAACCUUUCAAAUGCGAGCAGCUCUUUUAUGGACAAUCAGUGACUUUCCUGCAUAUGCUAUGUUAUCUGGUUGGAGUACAAAGGGAAAUUGGCUUGCCCUUGUUGUAAUUAUGGCACUAAUUCUCGUUAUCUUAAACAUAGUCGAAAAAUGUGUUAUAUAGAUCAUUGAGUUUUUCUGCCUAUGGAUCAUCCGUGGAGAUCUAAUAAAGGUCUUUCAAUGGAAAAAUAGAAUUUAGGCCUCCUUCGUCUUUGUUGAAGGGAACUGAUGUGCUUAAUAGCUUAAAGAAUUUUAACAAUGUGUUUGGGAAUAAGCGAAAGAGAACAAAUGAUGGCCCUUGGAAAAAAAGGUCAAUUUUUUUCGAAUUACCUUAUUGGCAGCACAACUCGUUACGUCAUAACCUUGACGUAAUGUAUAUAGAGAAAAAUAUUGUGGAUAAUGUAAUUGGAACUCUUUUGGACAUUCUUGGAAAUACAAAGGAUCAUGCAAAUGCUCGUUAUGAUCUUAAAGAGAUGGGCAUUAGGAAGAACCUUCAGCCAAAGGAUACAAAGGAUGACAAGAGAACAAAGUUUGCAAAAGCAUGCUUCUCAAUGACCAAUGGUGAAAAAUCAGUUUUUUGUGGUGUUUUAAAGACAGCAAAGCUACCUGAUGGUAGUGCUUCCAAUAUAUCCAGGUGUGUGCAGCUAGAUGAAAGAAAAUUAUCCGGUUAUAAAACCCAUGAUGCCCACUUCAUGUUACAUUACUUGUUGCCAAUACUAGUUAAAAGCAAACUUCCUGAUCAUGUUGCUAUCCCUUUGAUUCAUCUAAGUUCUUUAUUUCUCUAUUUAUGUCAAAAAGUUAUCACAAUGGAAGAGCUAGAUUGCUUGGAAGUAGAGAUUAGAGAAACUACGAAUCAAUUGGAAAGAAUUUUUCCUCUAACUUUUUUUGAUAUAAUGAUUCAUUUGCCUAUUCAUUUGGCGAAUGAGGUAAGGUUGGGAGGUCCAAUUCAAAAUCGAUGGAUGUAUCCUCCUGAAAGAUAUAAGUGUACAUUAAAAUCAUAUGUUCGCAACAGAAAUUAUCCAGAAGGAUCUAUUGCUGAGGCAUAUUGGUUGAAGAGUGUUUGACUUUAUGCUCUAGGCACUUAUAUGGAGGUGUAAAGACUCGAUUUAAUCGAAGACCCCGAAAUAAUGAUGAAUAUGAUUCAAUUAAUGCACAAGCUUCUAGUUUGUUCCCUAAUACAGGUUGUCCUUUAGGAGCAAAAAAGAGUGAUCCAAUUGUUUUAGAUGACAUGUCACUAAAUCAGGCACAUAUAUACUUAUUGAACAAUUGUGACGAAGUUCAAGAAUAUAUAAGAGAAUAUGAAGUUGAGGUUAGUAAUCAGAGACGAGGAUCUAAAUGGAGCAAGGCCAAGAAUCACAGUCAAAACUUCUCUCAAUGGUUUGAAAUUCGUUCUUUGAAAGAGGAUGUGCCCGAUCUUAUUAAGCAAUUGUCCAUUGGACCAAAUUCAAUUGCUAAAAGAUAUUUUGGGUAUCUCAUUAAUGGAUAUAGAUUCCAUACGAGGCAGCGUGAUGCAAGACGUAAAAUACAAAAUAGUGGUGUUACAUUAGUCGCCCUAACUACAAGUUUUGCAAGCUCAAAAGAUAAAAAUCCGGUUGACGCAAACAUGACAUAUUAUGGUAGAAUAGUUGAUAUAUUUGAGUUAGACUAUUAUGGCCAUUUUAAGGUUGUCUUAUUUAAGUGUGAUUGGUAUGAGGUUGAAGAAGAUAUUUAUGGCCUUACUUA